rnacentral:rRNA from 1 species
UGGCGGACGGGUGAGUAACGCGUGAGUAACCUGCCUUCAAGAGGGGGAUAACAUUCUGAAAAGAAUGCUAAUACCGCAUUAUAUUGGAAUCACAUGAUUUUGAUAUCAAAGAUUUUAUCGCUUGAAGAUGGACUCGCGUCCGAUUAGUUAGUUGGUGAGGUAACGGCUCACCAAGACCGCGAUCGGUAGCCGGACUGAGAGGUUGAACGGCCACAUUGGGACUGAGACACGGCCUAGACUCCUACGGGAGGCAGCAGUGGGGGAUAUUGCGCAAUGGGGGCAACCCUGACGCAGCAACGCCGCGUGAAGGAUGAAGGUUUUCGGAUUGUAAACUUCUUUUAUUAAGGACGAAACUUGACGGUACUUAAUGAAUAAGCUCCGGCUAACUACGUGCCAGCAGCCGCGGUAAUACGUAGGGAGCAAGCGUUGUCCGGAUUUACUGGGUGUAAAGGGUGCGUAGGCGGCUUUGCAAGUCAGAUGUGAAAUCUAUGGGCUCAACCCAUAAACUGCAUUUGAAACUGUAGAGCUUGAGUGAAGUAGAGGCAGGCGGAAUUCCCCGUGUAGCGGUGAAAUGCGUAGAGAUGGGGAGGAACACCAGUGGCGAAGGCGGCCUGCUGGGCUUUAACUGACGCUGAGGCACGAAAGCGUGGGUAGCAAACAGGAUUAGAUACCCUGGUAGUCCACGCUGUAAACGAUGAUUACUAGGUGUGGGGGGUCUGACCCCUUCCGUGCCGGAGUUAACACAAUAAGUAAUCCACCUGGGGAGUACGGCCGCAAGGUUGAAACUCAAAGGAAUUGACGGGGGCCCGCACAAGCAGUGGAGUAUGUGGUUUAAUUCGAAGCACCGCGA